CAGAUAAUUUUUAUUCUGGUACAAGGAGAAGCUAUGUUAGUCAGGGUAGUUGGUCAGGAAAGGCCUCUUUGAGGAGGUAGAUGACCCAAGAAGCAGUGGUGUCAGCUGUUAGGAAGGGUAAUGGAAGCUGGAGAGAAUAGUAAGUACAAAAACUGAGGUCAAAAUUAAAGGUCAAGGGUUGAGGUGGAGCUAAAGUAGAUCACCAGCUUAGCAUUCAUUCACCAGGCUCUGUAUGCAGCCCUGCCCUCUUCGAGCCCCACACACUCAGGGCAGCUGACACUAUUAAGUGAGACUAUUAAGUGAGCCAGCAUUACAGAACUUUGUGCAACAGAGGACAGUUAAGUCAGAAACUCACAACUAGUUAAAGUGUCAGUAGAGUGUUUAGCCACAGUAGGACUUCUAUCUCAUCUUUUCCUCUUUCCAAGACUCAGGCAUCAUGGUGAAUGUCGGGGUGGAAAGAUAUAAGAGCCAGAGUUUGGGGAGGCCUGGGGUGAAAUCGUGUCUUGGAAAUGGCAGGGCUACAGCACUUGCAAACUCAGACCAGCUGUAGCUUUCUCCACCUGCACAGGAUCAAGCCAGUCAUCAUUCCAGAAUGCAUGGAUGAGGACCUCACAAAUCCCCAGAGGUCUGUCUUGGGAGAGAAAGUCCUCUAAGUGUAUAUGUAGUCCCUGAUAAACCAUGUUCCAGUGGAUGACCCCACACUGACACACUGAUCAAUAUAAUGUACCAGCAGUUCAAAUUGGACUUCAUGGAUUAUAAACAAAACUUAGAGACGGCUCAGCUGGUAAAAGCACUUGCUGCUGGACUGAGUUCAGUGCCAGGGUCUCACAUGAUGGAGGGAAGAGAAUCGAUUCCGGAACGUUGUCCUCUGAUCUUCACACAUGUGUUUUGUUGUGUGUCUGUGUGUAGAUAUAUGCCAUGUGUGUCCAUAUACACAAAACAAAAUUAAUAAUAAAUGUAAAAACGACGACAUGAAGUUGGGAGUGGAUCCCCUCCCUAUGAGUUUGAGCUAGGAAUGGCUGAAAUGGUAAUAGGGUCGUCAAAGAAAUGGGGUCUCAGAGAAUCACAGUCGAGAGGUGUGUGAAUGGGAAUGGAGGUCCCUCCAAAGCUGGAAAUUGGGGUUAAGAAGAGCACUGAGGGAAUCUAACAUAAACUGAGGAAUUAAGACCAGAGAUAGGAGUCCUUCGAGAAGGCUGCUUUCCAAUCAGCGUGGCACAGUUGCAAGGUGUGGGGUGUCCAUGUAACAGACAAUCUCGGUGAGGUGGGUUGGUGUUGCAACCUUGAAGAAGACUGUGUGCAGCGAUCAUGGGGUGCGUGUUGAAGAACUGGGGUCGGUGUCCGCGUUGGGAGGCGAUGUGCGAGCGCCGGACGUAUGUCUGUGUAGAAUUGGAACUACUAGGGGACUGGGUCUCCGGCCGGACAGCGGGGCAAGCUGUUUCCGGGGCAGGGGCUUCGGCGUCGGCUCCUGGGCGCCCCCUGGCGGCCCCGACCCCGCCGCGGUUCUCACAAUGCUUGCGUAGCCCCGCUCCGACUCCCCGGGCGGCGGCAGCUCCAAGAUGGCGCAGGCGAUCUUCGAGGCCCUGGAGGGAAUGGACAAUCAAACGGUUCUGGCCGUCCAGUCCUUACUGGAUGGCCAAGGAGCAGUCCCUGACCCCACAGGACAAAGUGUAAAUGCGCCACCUGCCAUCCAGCCACUGGAUGACGAGGAUGUCUUUCUCUGCGGGAAGUGUAAAAAGCAGUUCAACUCACUGCCAGCCUUCAUGACCCACAAGCGUGAACAGUGCCAGGCAAACGCCCCUGCCCUGGCCACAGUCUCGCUGGCUACCAACAGCAUCUAUACACCGUCAGCAGCACCCGCUGCCGUCCAGCAGGCCCCACCUCCUGCCAACCGCCAGAUCUCCACGUACAUCACAGUGCCCCCCUCCCCACUGAUCCAGACCCUGGUGCAAGGGAACAUCUUGGUGAGCGAUGAUGUGCUUAUGUCUGCCAUGUCUGCCUUCACAUCCCUGGACCAGCCAAUGCCUCCAGGGCCCCCACCUGUGCAGAACAGCUUGAACAUGCAUCCUGUGCCCAAUUACCUCACCCAGCCUCCACCCCCUCCUCCACCCCCUCCGCCUCUCCCCCCACCCCCCCAGCCUCCUCCUCCCCCACCCCAGACUCUGGGCCCUUCUGGGCGCUCCAACCCUGUUGGGAACAGUGUGGUGGAGGUGUACAAUGCUGCUGCUCCCAUGGCUGGGAACGGAACGGUGGAGAUCCAGGCGCUGGGGAUGCAGCCGUACCCGCCCCUGGAGGUACCAAGCCAGUGUGUGGAGGCUCCAGUGUACCCCACUCCCCCAGUGUACAGCCCUGGCAAGCAGGAAUUCAAACCCAAAGGACCCAGUUCCACUGCCCCCAUGACCAAUGCAACUGGGAGCACGGUGGCCACCUUUGACUCCCCACCAACGUUGAAGACCAGACGUGCUAAAGGUGCCAGUGGACUCCCAGAAGCUGCAGGGAAGCCAAAAGCUCAGAAACUCAAGUGCUCCUACUGUGACAAGUCCUUCACCAAGAACUUUGAUCUUCAGCAGCAUAUCCGAAGCCACACAGGGGAGAAGCCCUUCCAGUGCAUUGCGUGUGGCCGUGCCUUUGCCCAGAAGUCUAACGUCAAGAAGCACAUGCAGACUCAUAAGGUGUGGCCUCCAGGGCGAAGUGGCGGCACAGUCUCCCGAAACUCUGUGACCGUACAAGUCAUGGCUUUGAACCCCAACAGGCAGGAAGAAGAAGACACGGGGUUGGGUCAGUCACUGUCCAGUACCACACAGCCCCAGGCCUUGCCCACGGCAGGUGAGGAUGAAGGUGACAAGCCAGAGGCCAAGCAGGUGGUCCUGAUCGACAGCUCUUACCUGUGUCAGUUCUGCCCCAGCAAGUUCAGCACCUACUUCCAGCUCAAGUCCCACAUGAUUCAGCACAAGAAGGAGCAGGUGUACAAGUGCGUGGUCAAAAGCUGUGCCCAGAUGUUCCCCAAGCUGGACACCUUUCUGGAGCACAUCAGAAGCCACCAGGAGGAGCUGAGCUAUCGCUGCCAUCUCUGUAGCAAGGACUUCCCCUCACUGUAUGACCUGGGCGUACACCAGUACUCCCACAGCCUCCUGCCGCAGCACAGCCCCAAGAAGGACAGCACCGUCUACAAGUGUGUCAAGUGUGUCAACAAAUACUCCACUCCCGAGGCCUUGGAGCACCACGUGCAGACGGCCACUCAUAGCUUCCCCUGCCCGCACUGCCAGAAGGUCUUCCCUCUAGGUCUUCCCCUGUGAACGCUACCUGCGGCGUCACUUACCCACCCAUGGCAGUGGUGGCCGAUUCAGGUGCCAGAUCUGUAAGAAGUUCUUCCGGAAGGAGCACUACCUCAAGCUACACGCCCACAUCCACUCAGGUGAGAAGCCCUACAAAUGCUCAGUGUGUGAGUCUGCCUUCAACCGCAAAGACAAGCUGAAGAGACACAUGCUGAUCCACGAGCCCUUCAAGAAAUACAAAUGCCCCUUCUCGAUGCACACGGGCUGCAGCAAGGAGUUCAACCGGCAGGACAAGCUGAAAGCCCAUAUCCUCUCCCACGCUGGCCUGAAGCUCCACAAGUGUGGGCUGUGCAGCAAGUCCUUCAGCCGUCGAGCUCACCUGGCAGAGCACCAACGAGCCCACACAGGCAACUACAAGUUCCGCUGCGCGGGCUGCGCCAAGGGCUUCUCACGACACAAAUACCUCAAGGAUCACCGCUGCCGCCUGGGCCCCACCAAGGACAAGGACCUGCAAGCCCGGCGGCCUCCCCGGAGGAGGGCAACGGCGCGUGGUGGUGGCAGCAUCGCCAGCGGGCACAAGGAGGAGAACCCCAUGCCAGACCCGCUGGGGCUGGAGGAGCUGAAGGCCGCAGGACCCUCGCCUGAGGCUGCCCCUGGCAAGCCACCCUUUGAGCAGGACGCUGUGUUGUCCAUUGUGGUGGGCGGGGACCCGGAGCUGGUGGUGCCUGGGCACACAGAGGGUCUGGGCUCCAACCUGGCACUUGCCGAGCUGCAGGCUGGAACCGAGGGAGGGUGUGCCAUGCUCGCCGUCCCAGUCUAUAUCCAAGCCUCAGAGUAACCAGGCUAGACUUCCCGGAGGUGUGUGUGUUGGGGGCGGGGAGGGUGCACUAGCACAAUCCCUUUUGGAAGUUACUGUAUCAGCCUUGCCCCACCGCUGUUCUUCCAUGCCCCGAGAUUAUCUGGGGAAACCUGUAGCACUCACAGGGUCUGAGGCAGGCACCAUAGCUCCAGGGCAUAGCAGCGGUAAGAGAGAUGGCCAGAGCAUGAAGUGCUCAGGGCCUAGCUGAUGGAGGCUGGUACUUGGGCAUCCUUUAAGACACGGUAGGGUGGCCCCACCCACCUAUCCAGGUUACCUGGGGUGGCCUCAGGUUGUGCUGCUCUUCAGGAUGCUAGCUGGAUGUGGCUGGAGUCCUUGUGUGUUAAACACUUCUUGAUGAGGGAUUCCUCAGACGACUGUAUGAGGUGAGCAUGUAAGAGGCACUUAUCCUGGGGCGUAGACUAUAGCUGCCAGCCAGCCCUUGCUUCAGAUUCACCACUGUGACCUGAGCAAGCACAUCACCUCUCUCUGUUCCACGUUCCUCACCUGUGCAACAGGACUUCGUAUAGCACUACCUCCUAGAGUGUUCCGAGGACAUAGUAUACGAAAAUGUGCAAAGGACUGGGCACAGUACCCAUGGCCUGGCAAGUGCUCAAUAAAUCUCAAUAAAUGUUUUUACCAACCUCAUGGGUCCAAACCACCCA